UAGGGAAUCAUCGAGAAGGUUUCAACGGUUUCUCGAAGAAGAACACGAAAUAGAAGACAAUAGUGACAAUAGAAGACAAAAUAACUGUAGUGAAGAAUAAUAGCUUGGAAAUUGAAAUAUAACGAAGGAAAAAAGGAUUCUCUGGACGAUAAUACCUACAAAAAAGGACAUCGUGUGCCAUCUCGAAAUAUUAUCAGAUUUAUCGAAUAAAUUUUAAAGCACAUCAAUUUGAUUUCAAGUCGAUAAUGUAGAUCUCAUUUACAUGAAGAAAACAAUGUCAUUUCGAUGAUGUAAAUCCCCACAACGAUCUCAUAUCUCAGAUUUAUCAAGUUCUCAUUUCGUUUAUUAAUACUUAACAUAAAUGAGACAAGAAAGAGGAUUCCGCAUAUAGACCAAAAAAAACAUCGAAAGUGUAAGAUUUUUUAAAAAUAUUAUUUCAAUUUGUUCUUUGAUAUAUUAUUGUAGCAUAAUGAAAUGAACAUCACAUUCGAGGUUAUAAUAUUAUAAUACUUUCUAAUAUCGCAAGAGAUAUUCUUCUACAUGGGAAUAUUAGAAAAUAUGAAAGAACAUUAAAAAGUUCAAUUCCUUGAUGCUUUAUACUUUCCCAUGGAUUUAAUUUUCAACAAUCAUUCAAUGCAGCCUUUACACCUAUUCUAACCAUUCCAAGUUUCUGAAACGUAUAUACAUAUUAUGAGAUUUACGGGGAAGCUCUUAAUGAAUCCAAAUAGUAAAUUAAAAAGGUUAACUAAAGAGAGAGAGAGAGAGAGAGAGAGACAGAGAGAAGAGAUUACGAUGAGAAGAAGAACGUGUUCGCCUCUUGAUGAAACCAGUUCUAGAAGGUGUGCUUGGAUUUAGAAUCGAUUUCUUAGCACGAUCUUGGCGAUUUACGUCUCUUGCCUAUCCGUAUAAAAUCUCAAGCUUUUAUCAUAGCAACAUAUAAUAACUGUAACGAUCGCUAAUCCGAGGAAGGUUCUGUCGACGAUCUCGCUAACGAAGAGAAUAAAGAAAACAAAAGAAUAAGGAAGAAAAGUCGAAUGGAAAGAUAUCCGUGAAAGUAUUAAUAUGAUAACCUGACACUAAAUCAUUUUUUAUCUUAGCAUUACCAUUGGACAAUAUGCUAAAAGAUCGCCUAACAGCUUUAUUUGCAACCCCUUUUUCUCUCGAGUACAUACAUACAUACAUACUCGUUCACUCGAAAGUACGCAGUUAGGAUGUUAAGGACGUGUCGUAAACGGACCUCUUUGUCUUUAGAAAAACGAAAGCGAAAAGAGAGAAUUGGAGAGAAAGACACGUGCAUAUAUUUAUUUGUACCGUAUCCACUUCGUGUUCUACGCUCGAGCAUGCCGUGAAUUAUGACUUUUCGCGACUAACAAACGCUUCUCCUCUCGUUCGAGCAUGCGUAGGAAGAUUUCUUCUCUCUCUCUCUCUCUCUCUCUCUCUCUCUCUCUCUUUCAUAUACAUUUGUAAUUAUCGUUAACCGGAUCCCUAUCUCUUU